UACGGAGGGAGCUAGCGUUGUUCGGAAUUACUGGGCGUAAAGCGCGCGUAGGCGGCUUUGUAAGUUAGAGGUGAAAGCUCGGGGCUCAACUCCGGAACUGCCUUUAAGACUGCAUCGCUUGAAUCCGGGAGAGGUGAGUGGAAUUCCGAGUGUAGAGGUGAAAUUCGUAGAUAUUCGGAAGAACACCAGUGGCGAAGGCGGCUCACUGGACCGGUAUUGACGCUGAGGUGCGAAAGCGUGGGGAGCAAACAGG
rnacentral:rRNA from 1 species